rnacentral:rRNA from 1 species
AUUGAACGCUGGCGGAAUGCUUUACACAUGCAAGUCGAACGGUAGAGGGGGCAACCCCUCGAGAGUGGCGAACGGGUGAGUAAUAUAUCGGAACGUGCCCAGUCGUGGGGGAUAACGUAGCGAAAGUUACGCUAAUACCGCAUACGAUCUAAGGAUGAAAGCGGGGGAUCGCAAGACCUCGCGCGAUUGGAGCGGCCGAUAUCAGAUUAGGUAGUUGGUGGGGUAAAGGCUCACCAAGCCAACGAUUUGUAGCUGGUCUGAGAGGACGACCAGCCACACUGGAACAGAGACACGGGCCAGGCUCCGACGGGAGGCAGCAGUGAGGAAUUUUGGACAAUGGACGAAUGUAUGCGCAAGCCCUUCCGCGUGCAGGAUGCAGGCCCUCGGGUUGUAAACUGCUUUUGUACGGAACGAAAAGGUCUCUCUUAAUACGGCGGGCUCAUGACGGUACCGGAAGAAUAAGCACCGGCUAACUACAUGCCAGACGCCGCCGUAA